rnacentral:ncRNA from 2 species
UAUAAUCUCUCUGCUCCAGGUGCCCGAAUGCUUGAAUUUGGGAGAAUAGGGAAGAAAUGUACGGUCCCGCCGCUGUGAGAGAGGAGUCCGGCUUCGAUACGCCACUGGGAGACCGGGAAGGCGAAGCCGGGCGGUGAAGCUCAAGUCAGAAGACCUGCCUGGGGAAUAUAAAAAAU